GGGCGGUUAGCUCAGUUGGUUAGAGCAUCUCGUUUACACCGAGAGGGUCGGGGGUUCGAGUCCCUCACUGCCCACCA
rnacentral:tRNA from 1 species